rnacentral:rRNA from 1 species
GACGAACGCUGGCGGCGUGCUUAACACAUGCAAGUCGAACGAAGUGGCGCACGGGUGAGUAACGCGUAAUCAACCUGCCCUUCAGAGGGGGACAACAGUUGGACACGUCUGCUAAUACCGCAUACUGAAGGAUGGGAUUGCGUCUGAUUAGCUAGUUGGCGGGGUAACGGCCCACCAAGGCGAUGAUCAGUAGACGAUCUGAGAGGAUGAACGGCCACAGUGGGACUGAAACACGGCCCAGACUACUACGGGAGGACGCAGUGGGGAAUCUGACGCAAUGGACGAAAGUCUGACGGAGCAACGCCGCGUGAGUGAUGACGGCCUUGGGGUUGUAAAGCUCUGUUAAUCGGGACGCGGUACCGGAAUAGAAAGCCACGGCUAACUACGUGCCAGCAGCCGGGUAAUAC